UGCUUUGUGUGAUGACUGGGGUCUG
rnacentral:piRNA from 1 species